CCCUUCGGGGACAUUGGUGACAGGUGGUGCAUGGUUGUCGUCAGCUCGUGUCGUGAGAUGUUGGGUUAAGUCCCGCAACGAGCGCAACCCUUGUCUUUAGUUGCCAUCAUUAAGUUGGGCACUCUAGAGAGACUGCCAGGGAUAACCUGGAGGAAGGUGGGGAUGACGUCAAAUCAUCAUGCCCCUUAUGCUUAGGGCUACACACGUGCUACAAUGGGUAGUACAGAGGGUUGCCAAGCCGUAAGGUGGAGCUAAUCCCUUAAAGCUACUCUCAGUUCGGAUUGUAGGCUGAAACUCGCCUACAUGAAGCUGGAGUUACUAGUAAUCGCAGAUCAGAAUGCUGCGGUGAAUGCGUUCCCGGGUCUUGUACACACCGCCCGUCACACCACGGGA
rnacentral:rRNA from 1 species